UGGGGAAUAUUGCACAAUGGGGGAAACCCUGAUGCAGCGACGCCGCGUGAGUGAAGAAGUAUUUCGGUAUGUAAAGCUCUAUCAGCAGGGAAGAAAAUGACGGUACCUGACUAAGAAGCCCCGGCUAACUACGUGCCAGCAGCCGCGGUAAUACGUAGGGGGCAAGCGUUAUCCGGAUUUACUGGGUGUAAAGGGAGCGUAGACGGUAAAGCAAGUCUGAAGUGAAAGCCCGGGGCUCAACCCCGGGACUGCUUUGGAAACUGUUUAACUAGAGUGCUGGAGAGGUAAGCGGAAUUCCUAGUGUAGCGGUGAAAUGCGUAGAUAUUAGGAGGAACACCAGUGGCGAAGGCGGCUUACUGGACAGUAACUGACGUUGAGGCUCGAAAGCGUGGGGAGCAAACA
rnacentral:rRNA from 1 species